rnacentral:misc_RNA from 1 species
UCCGGUUUGUCACCGGCAGUCUCAUUAGAGUGCUCAACUUAAUGUAGCAACUAAUGACAAGGGUUGCGCUCGUUGCGGGACUUAACCCAACAUCUCACGACACGAGCUGACGACAGCCAUGCAGCACCUGUGUCCAGGUUCCCUUUCGGGCACAGCCGCCUUUCAGCAGCCUUCCGGACAUGUCAAGGGUAGGUAAGGUUUUUCGCGUUGCAUCGAAUUAAUCCACAUAAUCCACCGCUUGUGCGGGUCCCCGUCAAUUCCUUUGAGUUUUAACCUUGCGGCCGUAAUCCCCAGGCGGGGUACUUAACGCGUUGGCUUCGGCACCUCGGGGGUCAAUACCCGAAACACCCAGUCGUCAUCGUUUACAGCGUGGACUAC